rnacentral:pre_miRNA from 1 species
ACAGUAAUACUUGGUUGAGAUUCUAGGUCUAGUCAGAGUGGGUUUACAGACGAUUUUUAUAUCUGUAUUGCACUCGUCCCGGCCUUGGAAUACUUUAACUA